CUCUCUCUCUCGCGAACUCUCUCUCUCUCCUGUUGCUUUGCCGCCGCUGCGCUGCUCCUGCCGCGGCGCCGCUGCUUGCUUGCGCCAGCACGCCACCGCCGGCCGCCGCUGCGUCGAGCCGCCGGUCGCCGCCGAGCCCUGCCGCCGGGCGCCGCCGCAGCUCCCGCCGGGCGCCGCCGCUGUGCACGCGCCGUGCGUUGCCGAGCCGCGUCGCCGGUUGCUGCGCGCCGCCGGCCGCCGCCCCCGGCUACUCCUCUCCCUCUCUCUCUCUGGGUUCCGCCGAAGCAGCCAGCCGGCCGAAGCAAGCAAGCGGCACGGGAGAAGGAAGCCAGGAAGAAGAAGGAAGAAAGAGAAGAAAAGAAAAGAAGGAAAAAAAAGGAAAAAGAGAAGAAAAGGAAAAAAAAAGAAGAAACAAAAAAGGAAAAGUUGGAAAUUUUAGAAUUUCGUCGGAUUCGUCGUCAAUCUUUCGAAGGCGAUUUUUCGGUAUGUUUAGAUGUUGACAUGCAUUUUGGGGAUGGAUCUCGGUAGCUGCACACACUAACUUAUCACGAUGUCGAUAGCUCAACCGGUGUAUACAAAUGGUGUGUCUGAUGGUCUGUCGUUUGCUUUUGUUUAUGUUGUGGUACGAUGCUGGUAGCGUCGUGGCGAACUCUAUAUAUGCUGGUUAUAUCUGAUUCUGUCUGCUUGAGAUUUCUCUUUUGGUCA